rnacentral:rRNA from 1 species
UACGAAGGGGACUAGCGUUGUUCGGAAUUACUGGGCGUAAAGCGCACGUAGGCGGAUUUGUUAGUCAGGGGCGAAAUCCCGGGGCUCAACCUCGGAACUGCCUUUGAUACUGCAAAUCUCGAGUCCGAUAGAGGUGGGUGGAAUUCCUAGUGUAGAGGUGAAAUUCGUAGAUAUUAGGAAGAACACCGGUGGCGAAGGCGGCCCACUGGAUCGGUACUGACGCUGAGGUGCGAAAGCGUGGGGAGCAAACAGG